AUACUACUCCCCCGUCUCAAAAUUCUUGUCUUAGGUUUGUCUAAAAGUGGAUGUAUCAAAAUGCUAAAACGCGACUAGAUACAUUCAUAUCUAAACAAAUCUAAGACAAAAAAUUUGACACGAAGGGAGUACUUG
rfam:Hordeum vulgare subsp. vulgare, WGS project CAJW01000000 data, contig: morex_contig_1568043